UACGUAGGGGGCAAGCGUUGUCCGGAAUCAUUGGGCGUAAAGAGCGCGUAGGCGGCCCGAUAAGUCCGCUGUGAAAGUCAAGGGCUUAACCCUUGAAUGCCGGUGGAAACUGUCGGGCUUGAGUAUGGGAGAGGUGAGUGGAAUUUCCGGUGUAGCGGUGAAAUGCAUAGAUAUCGGAAGGAACACCUGUGGCGAAAGCGGCUCACUGGACCAUAACUGACGCUGAGGCGCGAAAGCUAGGGGAGCAAACAGG
rnacentral:rRNA from 1 species